UCCUUCUUGUACUCAAAAACCUUAAUUAGCUCUUCACUGCUUAUAGGGGUGGGUAAUAAAAAAGACCAAACCUUUUAGCUGGCCCCUCUUUGAUCUAAUGCUGCCCUUCUUUUGAGGUCUUUUCUGCAUAACUUAUUUUACCAUACCCUCAGUUCCAGCUGACUCAUUCCCUGAACAUAGUCUGUACUUGCCUACCUCUGUGCCUUUGCUUUUGC
rnacentral:lncRNA from 1 species